UUUUUUUUAUUGUUUAAAGAAGUUUUGUGUAGAUUGACGUGAUAAAAUGUUUAACACACUGUCAUUAUUUGUGUUGGGCUGUUGGGCUCUAAUACUGUGAAGUUGUAUGUUACGCUUGCACAUUGUUAGUUUUUUUAUUUAUUUUUAGUUUUAAACAGUUUGUUUAGCCUUUUACAUAGUUUCGCCGACGACAUCAUGGAGUCUGCCACUGUAUUCGAAGAUCGUAAAAAUCUAAAUGAUUUCUUAGAAGAAGCAGAACUUCAGCAGUAUUAUGAAUUGUUUAGGGAUAUAUUAAAAGUAACAAAAGUAUCACAGCUUAAGUUUGUAUUAACUGAAGAUUUAGUUCAAAUUGGCCUAUCAAGACCGGAACAGAGGCGCUACAAGAAGAUCUACUCAAAAUAUUUUCCCAACCCCUACAUAUCAAAAAUACGAAAAAUGCUUAAACCUAACAAAAAAAGUGAUCAGAACAUACACGGCCAUUCAUCAAUACAGUUAGAAGCCCAACCAUUCUUCGAGAACAACGUCAAAGUGCCUACAAAACAUAUAAUUUCUAUAGAAGAUAUAACUAUAAACAAAGAGCUUGGUAUGGGACAGUUUGGCGUGGUACAACAAGGUACAUGGACCACGGGAAAUCAAAGACUGCAAGUAGCAAUAAAGUGCCUAGGUCAUGAGCGAAUGACGUCAAAUUCGACAGAGUUCUUGAAGGAGGCUGCCGUGAUGCACAGUAUAGAGCACCCGAAUAUUGUGCGUUUGUAUGGCGUCGUGUUACAUAUGGACUCCUUAAUGCUGGUGACCGAGCUAGCACCUCUCCGGUCGUUGUUAGAGUGUCUUCGUGAGGUGUCUCUGCGGCAAAACUUCCCGGCGCCCAACCUCUGCGAGUUUGCGGAACAAAUCUGUGAUGGCAUGACUUAUCUAGAAAGCAAAAGACUGAUACAUAGGGACCUAGCAGCAAGGAAUAUUUUAGUAUUUAGCAAGGAUAGAGUGAAAAUUUCUGAUUUCGGGCUGUCCCGCGCUUUGGGCGUCGGAAAAGAUUAUUAUCAAACGAAUUACAAUGUGAAUCUGAAGCUACCUGUGGCAUGGUGUGCACCAGAAUGUAUACUAUUUCUCCGGUUUACAUCAGCAAGUGAUGUCUGGGCGUUCGGCGUAUGUCUCUGGGAGAUGUUCACGUAUGGCUUCCAACCCUGGGCGGCGUUCUCUGGACAGCAGAUCUUAGAAGCCAUUGAUGCUCCCAACUUUCAGAGACUGGAGCGACCGGAAUGUUGUCCUGAAGCCUACUACACUACAAUGCUGGAGUGUUGGGCUCAUGACUUCAACAAUAGGCCUAAGUUUAAGGACUUGGCUCCGAAGCUACGCAGCAUAAGACCUGAACAGGUGGAAGCGACAGUAAACUUCCAGAAGCCAGAAGACGCCAGAAGGAACACCUUCCUCGAGUACAAAGCUGGACAAAUCAUUACAGUAUUAGGAAAAGAAAACAUGACAAAAUCUCCACUUUGGUACGGUGUUCUACCCGGCGGUGCCUGUGGUAUGCUAGACCCUGCGCACACGAAGCCGUAUGUCCCACCAGAGAGAAGUGUAUGUUACGGGUCGCUCUCUCCGCAUCCCGUCCGGCAAUCCGCGCGGUCGAUCCGCUCGACGCUGCUGAGGAGCGAUGUUAAACGACACACUUUUACCGGCAAGCGGUCGAUACAGCGGUGUAUGAUUUCGAGCCCGCAAGGAGACGUGAAGCAUACAGGACAUGUGGGCCUAGAUGGGGCCUACUUCGGAGAUAUUUCGUUCCUGGAUCCUGCCGGAUGCCCGCCCCGUCAGAUAGUGACGCCAUACAAACCUUCGGAAGACCUGGAACAGAUGCCGCUGAUCAACCCGAACUCGCCGUCACACCUGACGGGAGCUUCGGGGACUACGCCCUACCCCAUGCUGGCUUCUCAUCAGCCGGAUAGGCCUGACUGCGAUGAAGUGGAUUUAGCUUGUGAUAAAACAAGAAGUUUGCGCAAGAACAGCCUCAGGACAUUGUCAGAGCCGACUACCAGCAAAAGUAUUCUUAGUAAGGUGAGGAGCGCAACUCUAGGCAGAUCCCACAAAGGCGACAACGGCACCAUGCCCAAGACUGAUGAAGUUCACGAGUACCACGAGAUUUCCGAUACCGACACGGAGGGUACUGCUACUUCGUGUGGCAGAGUCGAGCGUUUGAACUCAAAGGAUAAUAUUGAGAUCCUGAAGAGUACGAGCGACUUUGGCCAGAGUCUGUUGGAUGAAAUAGAAGUCAUGUUCCGAAACAUGGACCGCCGUCGUGACGAUAACCAACCUGGGAGGUCGGCAGAUGCCAUCAGGCCGGCCUCUCCAAGCGGGACCGCUGAUACGAGCUCGCCUGCUCAUUCUGAGAGAUCGCGUUGGCGCAUUGGGACGUGGUUCCGCCGCUCGGCGUCGCUGGGGCCACUGACCAGCUGCUACCGUCGUCCAGCACCGGAGCGAGCCGAGCAUGAAGAAGGUUCCAGCAAUUCUUUGGCUGCAUUCUUCAGGAAGCUUGCUAUAAAGCGUAAAUCAGACCGUAAUCCGGAGCCUUCGACCAGCCAGGAUGUAGUGGUGGAGGAACCGACCACCACCCUGACGAAGUCGGAGCGCAAGAAGGGAUCCACUGGCACCAUGAAACCGAUGUCGGCUCAUGAUGAGAAGACCUUGAAUACUGCUGUCGCCCUGGCCAAUGAAAUCACUGCUAAGUCCAUGAGCGAUCUGGAUGGAGACAAGAAACUCCCGCAUUCACCCAACGAGCGCUCGAAGUUUCACUUCAAGUUUCCGCUGUCUCUCCAUCACGGACAUGGCCAUGAUGCUGAGAAGGAUUCCUCGGCUGCACGUGAGCGUCGCAAUUUUUCUGAGGAAGCUAACAGCGUUCCUGAUAUCCAGUCCACCAUAACUGAAGAAUCCAAGAUGGCUUACACCAGCCUGAUCGAAGAGCCGACUCCUUCCACGUCGCUGAUGACUCACAUUGCCAAGGAGACCAGUGGCAUUCUGAAGCCGGCUACUAUCCCGAAGCCAGCUCGUGCUACUCACGUGCAGUUCCGCUCUCUGCAGGCCAAUUCGCCUAGCAAGGCCCGAAGCCUAUCUGCUGCUGACGCUGCUCAGCCUGAUGCUGCCAGCGGCAUAAACGUGCUGCCGCUGCCUCCGCGCGGACCCAAGAUUCCACGGCGAAAGCCUGCCUUCCGUAUUAAAUCGCCUGCCGGCCGUACUAGACCGCCUGCCACACCCGCGGCUGCCCGCAGAAUCGUCAAGCUGACUGCCGAAGAAAUUAAGGCUAAAGAGAUCAUGUCUAACUACGCCGAAAUAGAUCACGCGGCUACGGCCAGACUGGAGCUUUAUGCUGCUAGGCGCGGUCUUGCUGCCAGACCCAGCUAUGCUGCUGGACCCAGCCAUGUCGCUGAACCCAGCCAUGUUGCUGGACCCAGCUAUGCUGCUGAACGCAGCCAUUCUGCUGAACCCAGCCACGCCGCUGAACGCAGCCAUGUCGCUGGAUGCUGGCAUUUUUUGAGCAAGUCAAAGCCCGGCCAAGCUAAGGCCCAGUCAAGCCAGAGCCUAGACAAGUACGGCAAAGGAAAGAAGAUGGCCAGUGACUCUGACAGCAAUGCUCUGAACAACGCGUCGCGAGCGGUUCAUCUCGCAAGUAGAUUUGGUACCAUCAUAUUCUAGUUGUCAAAUCAUUCCACGAUCAUUCAUUGUGCGUCAUUUAGUGAUGGUGGCCACUUCUAGUGACUUCUAGAUCAUUGUGUGUGUAGUGAUGUUAACAUUUUAGUUUUUUUUUUCUUUUUAGUUUAUGGUUUACGAUAUACGUUUAAUAACUAAUUUAAUACCCUGUGCAAUUAGUGUAACGUAAAUGUAUAUCGAUUAAAAACGCUAUCAACCAUUCAUAAAAUUGAUGUUGUUCUGUGUUUAUCACCGUUGGUAUCAUCAGGACCGAACACGACAUACGACACAUACAUAUGUUGCUAUCACAGUAUUCUUAAUCAUUUGUUCUCUAUCUUAUAAGCAUUUAAAAAAUCUAUCUUAAUGGGUGAGACAGAUUGGACAUCUUUAUCACAAUCUGCGAUUUCUCCUAAAAAAUCCACAGGAUGCAAAAAAACAUAUAAGACCGGUUUCAUACUAGCGAAUUAUCCGCUCGGAUUUAUAAUCGUGAUUAGACGAAAACGGUGCUUGAACGAGUGUACGCGCACCAAACGCGAAUUUACGCAAAUUAUACUUUCCAAGCCGGGCAGGUAAAAACGCUAGUCUGAAGUCGCUCUACAGUACAAGUGAAAUUGACGGCUCUUAAUUUUUUCAGUUUUUUAUUUCAUUUUUUAGCUUGUCAAAAUCUAAACGAUUAAUUUAUGCCUAUUAGAAAGAUGAUUGCCCACGGGAUACAAACGGAUAUGGAGAAUUUGAAAAUAUAUGUCUGGUGAAACUGACACUGGCUCCAAUUUACCGUAAAAUACCGGUUGUAUCCACUUCGCAACUUCAACUAUCCACCACAAAACUCUGCAAUGUUUGCUAGAAGUAACCUGGCCUCGGAGAUUGGUGGGCCGCGCCACUUCAGACCGAUCAACGUGCUUCCCUUGCCGCCGCGCGCCGCUUCCAACGAGAAGCCGGUCCGCCCCGUCGCUCGCAAGCCCCUGCUGCCUCGAA
rnacentral:misc_RNA from 1 species